rnacentral:misc_RNA from 1 species
GGUACAUACAAAACCCACUAACAGCACUCCCAUUUCUGACUUCAGCGAUCUUUCUCUUGAAGAGACUUCUUUAUCAUCGUCCUUCCAUUUUUUAGAUGCACAAUUAUCCUUAUCAUCCCUCUUUUCUUCAUCAUCAUUUGAGCUUAAUUCCCUGCUAGCAGAAACCGAUGAAAAAGAUGACAUGUAUAAGAAAGAAGAGAUUCAUCAUUUGAAGAAUUUAUCAUCUGGGAAGCCAUUAACAAGAGGAAGAUUAUUUCCCCCACCAAUUUCUUGCUUAAAAAUAUUUAAGACAGGGAGGCCUUACACAUACCUUUCAUUCAAUGAAGAAGAUGAUAGCUUUGUCCUUGAGGAGAUACGAAUC